GACGAACGCUGGCGGCGUGCCUAAUACAUGCAAGUUGAGCGAUGAAGAUUGGUGCUUGCACCAAUUUGAAGAGCAGCGAACGGGUGAGUAACGCGUAGGGAAUCUGCCUUUGAGCGGGGGACAACAUUUGGAAACGAAUGCUAAUACCGCAUAACAACUUUAAACAUAAGUUUUAAGUUUGAAAGAUUCAAUUGCAUCACUCAAAGAUGAUCCCGCGUUGUAUUAGCUAGUUGGUGAGGUAAAGGCUCACCAAGGCGAUGAUACAUAGCCGACCUGAGAGGGUGAUCGGCCACAUUGGGACUGAGACACGGCCCAAACUCCUACGGGAGGCAGCAGUAGGGAAUCUUCGGCAAUGGACGAAAGUCUGACCGAGCAACGCCGCGUGAGUGAAGAAGGUUUUCGGAUCGUAAAACUCUGUUGGUAGAGAAGAACGUUGGUGAGAGUGGAAAGCUCAUCAAGUGACGGUAACUACCCAGAAAGGGACGGCUAACUACGUG
rnacentral:rRNA from 1 species